UAGUGACUGGUUGAUCGUGACUGC
rnacentral:siRNA from 1 species